rnacentral:lncRNA from 1 species
UUUUUUUUUUUUUGGAUGAUGGAUUUAAUUACAUUUUUUAAAUUGCUCUAGACAGAAGCAUGCUUACAAAAGUCCCAUGUCCUAUCCCUAUUCAUUUUCAUCUCUUCUUCUUCCUUUCCCAUUUUUCCUGUUUUCUCUCUUCUUUCUUUUUCUCUUAAGACUUGGAAUGUUCUAGUAGAAAUGGUAUGAGUUUCAGAAUUAGGGUCCUUAAUUGCCGCUGCUUUGUUCUUUGCAGCUGGAAGUGUAGUAAAAAAUAGUCAUGAGCUUGAUCUUGGAAUAUUUGGAAAUACAGACUCUCCCGGACACAAACCUACUCCUGCUGAAUGGGCUCUUCAUUGGAACAAGAUAUUCAGCUGACUCAUUAGCACAGUAAAGUUUUAGGAGAAUUUAUGUCACUUAAAUUUCUGAACACAGUUUUAAUUAUGAGGGUUAAAUGAGAUAAUACAUGAGUUGUACAUAGCUCUGGGGUAAAAUAUAGUUUGUGUGCUCUGUGAUGAACUCUGUUAGGAAAGACAGUCUCAGGAGCAGGUUUUUUGUUUGUUCGUUUGUUUGUUUUACAGCUGCACCUAUGGCAUAUGGAAGUUCCUGGCCUAGGAGUUGAUUUGAAGCUGCAGCUGCAGCUGCAGGCCUAUGCCACAGCCGUAGCAACACCAGAUUUGAGAUGCAUUUGUGACCUACAUUGGAUCCUUAACCCACUGAGCGAGGCCAGAGAUCAAACCCACAUUCUCAUGGAGACUAUAUUGGCUUCUUAACCUGUUGAGCCACAGCAAGAACUCCUCAUGUGCAAUCUUUAGAUCCCACCCUCCCUUCUCAGCCACAUAGAAUGGGCCAUGGGCCAGACCCAUCCUUACCAAGAGAACAAGAGCACACACAGCCUGUGCAGAGUUAAGCACCUUGUGGAGAACGGUCUUUCCCUCUUUCAGACUCAGUUGUGUACUUCUUUUAGCUGCUCAGGUAUGGGUGUCAUGUGGCACCUGGCCAACCACAGUAAUGCUUCUGUCCCCUGCAGGGAUGUGAUGGGGCCCUUUGGUAACAGCACAUGGUUUCUCUAUGCCAGCUGCUGGGAGGGACCUACUGGCCCCCCAGGGGUUUGAUACCCACUACUGAAGCUGAUCUUGCUCUGCCUCUUCUCUGUGAUGAGCAAAGCUUUGUUCUAGCCAGUGUUUGAUUGUGUUGUAUUUUCCUUGGUCACUCUGAUACCAAGAUGCAGGGGGCAGAAGUGUUUGGAUUUCUACUCUAGGUGAUAGGCAACACACAUUAUUUGCUCGACAGAUGUAUAUGUUGAAGUUUGAGCCUCCAGCACUUUAGAAUGUGACCUUCUUUGAAAAUAAUGUCAUUGUAUCUGUAAUUCAUUAAGAGGAGGUUUUAAUGGAGUAGCAUGGGCCCCUGAUCCCAAAUGACUUGUGUCCUUGUAAAAGGGAGAAAUUUGGGCACACACACACAUAAACACACACACAGAAUGCCAAGUGAACAUAAGGUAGAGACUAGGGUGAUAUGUCUAUAAGCCAGGGAACAUCAAAGAUUGCCAGCAGGGCACCACUGGAAGCUAUAGGAGAGACUUGAAACAGAUUCUCCAUUUCAGCCGUCAGGAGAAACCAACCCUGCUAACACCUUGUUCUUGAACUUCCCAAACUCUGAUACAACAGAUUUCUGUUUUUUAAGCCACCCAGUUAAUGGUGCUUUGUUCUAGAAGUCCUAGCCAACUAACGCACUGUGCUCAACUGGAAUUUUUUUUCUUAUAACAGUAAAUAAUUUCUCUUUUAGAGAAUAUUUUGGUCGCUUUUCUUUCCAUAUUCAAGCUUUAAUCAAAAGUUUUUGUGGGUCUUAAAGCACAAUGGAGAAGGUGGCAUUAAUCACAUAUAUUAUGCUUUUUAUAAAACCACUAUGAGGUCUGAUGCAAUGAAAUUCCUUUGGCAGAGGAUUUUGGUUCUGAUUCUAAUGUUUCCUCAAGGUUGGUAUUAGAUUAGAAUUUCAGUCUACAGAUUUUCAGUGUUAAUAUGACACGAUAUUGGAUUACAGAAUAAUAAUUACCAUUUUAAUAAUUUAUAUCAUUGGCUUUUUUUCAACCUUGUUCCAGCAGUAAAAGGAAUGCUGGGCGGGCUCAAGCUACGCUUCCUCGCUUGUAUUAACUCCUCCUGACACUCAGGUUUUCUAUCAUUGAGACCUGAUGUUAAUAGCCUUUCAGCUCUAUCAAACUGGAAACUUCGCCUUCUUAAAAUGCAGUUGCCAUGGGAACAGCAGAGUUCUGGGAUUUUUGUUUUCAGAAGGUAUCGGAAGACUCAGUGUCAAUACAAGAGUACACAGCAUGACAUAUUAACAUGUGCAAUUCUGUGCUGUUUUUACGUUUAAGAGAACAUGGGAAGAAAAAGGUACCUAAAUGUUUUCACUAAACCUGCCAAUGAGCUCUCAUUUCAUCUUUGUGCCAUAUUUAAUUCAUUUGUUUAUACACCCCCUUUGUUCCCAAAAGUGCUUUAGACAGCUUGGGUCAUGGAAGUUGUUACCAGACAAUUAGACAAAUACAUACAACAUGUUCCCACUGCUUCUAAUCACAUCCUCUAAAAAGGUAUCUUUUUGUUGAACCUGAGAUUAAUGGAUGUUUCUUUGCCGGGGCCAUAGCUGUACGGCUUCUUUAUUCUUAUCCCAGUGUACCCACCUCUGGUAAAACCUGCUUUUAAAAAAAUCUCUUUGUAGGGAGUUCCCGUCAUGGUGCAGUGGUUAACGAAUCCGACUAGGAACCAUGAGGUUGCGGGUUCAAUCCCUGGCCUUGCUCAGUGGGUUAAGGAUCUGGCGUUGCCGUGAGCUGUGGUGUAGGUUGCAGACGCGGCUGGGAUUCAGCAUUGCUGUGGCGAUGUUGGCUGGUGACUGCAGCUUCGAUUUGACCCCUAGCC